AAGCGUUGUCCGGAUUUAUUGGGCGUAAAGCGCGUGUAGGUGGCCAGGUAGGGCUGGUGUGAAAACUCGAGGCUCAACCUCGAGAGGUCAUCGGAAACCAUCUGGCUAGAGUCCGGAAGAGGAGAGUGGAAUUCCCGGUGUAGCGGUGAAAUGCGCAGAUAUCGGGAAGAACACCUAUGGCGAAGGCAGCUCUCUGGGACGGUACUGACGCUGAGACGCGAAAGCGUGGGGAGCGAACAGG
rnacentral:rRNA from 1 species